rnacentral:rRNA from 1 species
UACGUAGGGGGCAAGCGUUGUCCGGAAUCAUUGGGCGUAAGGCGCGUGUAGGCGGCCCGGUAAGUCCGCUGUGAAAGUCGGGGGCUCAACCCUCGAAUGCCGGUGGAUACUGUCGGGCUAGAGUGCGGGAGAGGCGAGUGGAAUCCUGGUGUAGCGGUGAAAUGCGCAGAUAUCAGGAGGAACACCGGUGGCGAAGGCGGGUCUCUGGGCCGAUACUGACGGCUGGAGGAGCGAAAGCGUGGGGAGCGAACAGG